rnacentral:lncRNA from 1 species
GUAAAGUGUCUUAGUCCUCUCAUCCCCAAUUUCGAGUCUAGCUUUCCAUCCCCUUCUUUGGUUUUCUCCUAUCUUACUUAGCUUCUUCAUUUGCAUUUUAAUUAAUGUUGUUCUACUUCUUUGAGCUGAAAUCGUUGGUUACUACCAUCAAUAUAAUCUAUAUAGAGUUGUUACGUUGGUGCUAUUAUCUAUCAAACUCCAAUGGAAGAGGUGGUACUAGAUCGAUUUAACAGCAUCAACAACCUAGAGAGCUGAACUUUUCGAGCUGAGCAAUACUUCACCAACCUUGGCUUCUCCGAGAAGAACUGGCUAACUCUUCCUUCCUUCUACCUUGAUGGUAAAGCUCCUACUUGGUUCAAUUGCUUGUUUCAGAAUAAACAAUUUUUAGAUUGGGCGCAUUUCAAUGCUCAGCAUUUUCGACAGCAAAAUGUAACAUAUCUGGUAAGGCAUCUUAGUUGAUUCCUCACAGGUUACUUUUAACUACAUUAAUAUUGUGCCUAUAGUGUCAUAAUUAGCUGUGGUGUCUCCCUUUCCCCCUUCAAGCCUUCUUUCGGAGUCAUCAACAUUUGAAUUGGCUUAUGAAAAUGGAAACUCGAAGGAGGACCAUAUGUUCGAUAAAUUGCCACUGUAGUAUGAAACUGUAGAUUCAUUGACAUUGAUUACAUUAAAUAAUACUGAGACUGAAAAUCCUGAAGAUAUAAAAGCACCUCAAAUGGGUAAUGCAAAAUUUGUAGAGGUAGUGGAAUUGGUACAAGAACCUUCUGCCACUAUUGAUGAUCAGGUAUUCCAUAACAUUUCACACGCCGCAGUAAGAUCCAGCAUUCAUGAGCUUAAUGCUAUUGUCCAUGAGGGAGACAACUCUGUUACUACAGUAUCCAAGAUGUACGAUGAUAGCUUCUUCCCAAAUGGCGGCUUCAAAACCAAGGUACAUAGUGAGGUGUUUGAUGAAACGACCAAAUCUAAUACUGGGGAGGAAGAAAAUUCACGAGAUACUACUGUAGCUUAGGUGUUUGACAAAUCUCGUCAACGGGAUACAUAAGAUCUUCUGGUUUUUUACUAGCCAAGGAAUUGUGCUGUCGAAUGCGAGUGUGAGAUUUGGUAUAAUAGAAUUUUCAUUUGAUGGUACACUAUGGUUUGGCAUAAUUACAAGUUUGCUUAACUUCUCUUGAAGAUAUUGAUGGGGUUAAUCAAAGUUAGGUGUAACUUUACCUUGACUUUGGCUCACACAGAUGCAAUUGGGUUAAUACUGGACAGGAACACAAUCUUCCAGGAUUCUUGUUGUCUAAAUCAAGAGAGUGUGCUCGGGAGUAGAAAAUACAAAGAGGGCUCCAGGUAUUAGCUGAAAGUUACUCCAUAGUGACUGCAUUUGUUCUACAUGCUUAAACUAAGAGACUUCACUUUAUUUUGUUAUGUGGAUUGUUGUGACUAUUUCUCAUACCCAUCAUUGUCUGUUUAAAGCUCCAGAACUGCUUGCAAAGGAUAAUAAUAGAAUUCUUAUUCCAUACAAUACACUAUUUAAUUUGGAAACUGAAGGUACCUUGGCGUUUGAUUUGCCUAUGAUGAAACUGCAGAGCUUUCAAUGAAUACCAAUUUAUUGUGAGCUAGAAGCAUCCACAUGUUGCUUCCUUGCUUCAGAUCCAAGAGUUCAACAGAGCUUAUGGCGGGACAAUUGUAAAUAAUUGUGUAGAUGAAUACUUUAGUGACUAUAAUGAGACAAUUGGUGGGGAAUGAAAUUUGUAGAUGAAUACUCCAUGAGGGGCAUUCUCUCAAGUAUGAGGCUCAUGUGGCAUUCCAGAAACUCAAUUCGCCACAAGGAUACUGAUCCAUUACUUUUUCUCAGACACAAGGAGUUAGUUUUAUUGGCUUUGGCAGGGGAAGAAUAUUUGCCAUUCAUGGGUAUGCAUUCGAUACUGGUGAGGCUUUAAAGAUGCAUCGGUCAAGUAAUCACUCGGUUUUAUAUGAUAAAGCAGAAAGCUAUGAGGGCAUAGUGGCAGUUUGCUUUUAUUUCAUUAACCCGGACAUUACUACUUGACAUCAUGCUUUUGAUCCAAGUGGAGUUCACCAAGAAAUGAAAUGCUCUAUCUUUCUGGACAAUGAUUAUCAUAAAGCCACACAGCUACAAUGUAAUGCAAUUGGCAGUGCCCAACAUGCUCUUUUGUCUGGAUAUUUGCUGAUGGUCAAGCUUCAAUGCAACAUUGUGAUGAGUUCCCUAUGCUUUCACGUACAACGAAAGUGAAGUGCCUAAGUGAUGAUGGCUACUGGAUCACUUUGUAUCUAUUGGAUGUUCCACUUUCUCAUGGUUGGAUAGUUGUAGAUCAUGAUCGUGCCACAGCAUUUGACUUAAUAUCUGACACUACACUGAUGGUCACGAAAGAUUACAUAUGGGAAUCCUUUUCAAUGGUGCAAGCCAACACAAAUUCUCAUGUUCUCCUAUUAGAAUUUCCUAUAUUGAACCUUGAGGACAAGUUUCUUAUUGAGGUCUGGGGUAUUGUUAUGAUCGUAGUUAACAUUUGGGAGGGCAUGUAUGGAAACUUAGAAACUUAGUUGUGGGAACAAGUUUAGGAACAUGUGAGGUAUGCAGAAUUAAUAAAUAUCAGUACCUUAGGCUAAAAAUAGCUAGCCGAUUAUUGUUAAGUAAAGUGUCUUGGACCUCUCAUCCCCAAUUCCGAGUCUAGCUUCUCAUCCCCUUCUUUGGUUCUCUUCUAUGUUAGUUUCUUCAUUUGCAUUUUCAUUAAUGUUAUUCUACUUCUUUGAGAUGUAAUCGUUAGUUACUACCAUCAAUAGAAUCUAUAUUUUGGAGUUGUUACAUUGGUGCUAUCGUCUAUCAGACUCCAAUGGCAGAGGUAGUACUAGAUCAAUUUAACGGCAUCAGCAACCGAGAGAGCUAGAUUUUUCGAGCUGAGCGGUACUUCACCUACCUUGGCUUCUCCGGGAAGGACUGGCUACCUCUUCCUUCCUUCUACCUUGAUGGUAAACCCCCUACUUGGUUCAAUUAGUUGUUUCAGAACAAGCAAUUUUUUGAUUGGGUGCAUUUCAAAGAGAAAUUUGCUCAGCAUUUUCGACAGCAAAAAAGAAACAUACCCGGUGAGGCGUCUCGUUGAUUCUUCACAGGUUAGUUUUAACUACAUUAAUAUUGCACCUAUAGUGUCACAGUUAGCUAUGGUGUAUCCCUUUCCUGCUCCAAGCCUUCUUUCGAAGUCAUCAGCAUUUGAAUUAGCUUAUGAAAAUAGAAACUCGAAGGCGGACCAAAUGUUCGAUAAAUUUCCACUGCAGUAUGAAACUGUAGAUUCCUUGACAUUGAUUACUAGCAAUAAUAUUUAGACUGAAAACCCUGAAGAUAUAGAAGCACCUCAAAUUGGGAAUGCAAAAUCAGUAGAGGUAGUGGAAUUGGUACAAGAGCCUUCUACCACUAUUGAUGGUCAGGUGUUCCACAAAAUUUCACACGCCGCAGUAAGCUCUAGAAUUCAUGAUCUUAAUGCUAUUGUCCAUGAGGGAGACAACCUUUUUACUACAGUAUCCAAGAUGUACGCUGAUAGCUUAUGCGCAAAAUCCAGCUUUCAUACCAAGGUACAUAGUGAGGUGUUUGAUGAAACGGCCGGAUCUAAUACUGGGGAGGAAGAAAAUUCACGAGGUACUACUGUAGCUUAGGUGUUUGACAAAUCUCGUCAAUGGGAUACAUAAGAUCUUUUGGUUUUUACUAGCCAAGGAAUUGUGUUAUCGAAUGCGAGUGUAAGAUUUGCUAUAAUAGAAUUUUCAUUUGAUUGUACACUAUUGUUUGGCACAAUUCCAUGUUUGCUUAAUUCUCUUGACGAUAUAGAUUGGGUUAAUCAAAAUCAGGUGUCACUUUACCUUGACUUUGACUCACACAGAUGAAAUUGGGUUGAUACUGGGCAGGAACGCAAUCUUCCAAGAUUUUUGUUGUCUAAAUCAAGAGAGUGUGCUUGGGAGCAGAAAAUACAGAGAGGGCUCCAGGUGUUAGCUGAAAGUUACUCCAGGCAGUCACCACAUAUUCAGAUCGAUAAAGCUACUAGACUCUUGUUUGCGCUGUUUGAUCUAGUUCAUAAAGCAAUGUCUGCUUCGCCGUAUAUUAUCUUUGAUCCUAGUACUUACGUUGAUUAUGCCAUAUUUCCCACAUUAGCCGUCUUCAUAGUAGCAAACAACCAUAAUGACUGCAUUUGCUCUACAUGCUUGAACUUCGACUUCACUUCAUUUUGUUAUAUGAAUUGUUGUGACUAUUUCUUGUGCCCAUCCUUGUCUGUUUAAAGCUCAAGAACUGCUUGCAAAGGAUAACAAUAGAAUUCUUGUUCCCUACCAUACACUAUUACAUUUGGAACCUGAUGGUAGCUUGGCGUUUGAUUUGCCUAUGAUGCAACUGCAGAGCUUUUCUAUGCAUACCACUUUAUUGUGA